rnacentral:rRNA from 1 species
CUUGAACGCUGGCGGCAGGCCUAACACAUGCAAGUAGAACGAGUGGCGGACGGGUGAGUAAUGUCUGGGAAACUGCCCGAUGGAGGGGGAUAACUACUGGAAACGGUAGCUAAUACCGCAUACCAUCGGAUGUGCCCAGAUGGGAUUAGCUAGUAGGUGGGGUAACGGCUCACCUAGUCGACGAUACCUAGCUGGUCUGAGAGGCUGACCAGCUGCCCUGGUACUUGUGCACGGUCCAGACGCCGACGGGAGGCAGCAGUUGGGAAUAUUGCACAAUUGGCGCAAGCCUUAUGCAGCCAUUCCGCGUGUGUUAAGAAGUCCUUCGGGUUUGAAAGCACUUUCAGCGAGGAGGCGUUACUCGCAGAAGAAGCACCGGCUAACUCCGUGCCAGCAGCCGCGGUAAUAC